AGCGAACGCUGGCGUCAGGCCUAACACAUGCAAGUCGAACGAACUCUUCGGAGUUAGUGGCGGACGGGUGAGUAACACGUGGGAACGUGCCUUUAGGUUCGGAAUAACUCAGGGAAACUUGUGCUAAUACCGAAUGUGCCCUUCGGGGGAAAGAUUUAUCGCCUUUAGAGCGGCCCGCGUCUGAUUAGCUAGUUGGUGAGGUAAAGGCUCACCAAGGCGACGAUCAGUAGCUGGUCUGAGAGGAUGAUCAGCCACAUUGGGACUGAGACACGGCCCAAACUCCUACGGGAGGCAGCAGUGGGGAAUCUUGCGCAAUGGGCGAAAGCCUGACGCAGCCAUGCCGCGUGAAUGAUGAAGGUCUUAGGAUUGUAAAAUUCUUUCACCGGGGACGAUAAUGACGGUACCCGGAGAAGAAGCCCCGGCUAACUUCGUG
rnacentral:rRNA from 1 species